UAGAGUUUGAUCCUGGCUCAGGAUGAACGCUAGCGACAGGCUUAACACAUGCAAGUCGAGGGGCAGCGGGUAGAUGAGCUUGCUCAUUUAUGCCGGCGACCGGCGCACGGGUGAGUAACACGUAUGCAACCUGCCCGUCUCAGGGGGAUAAUCGUCGGAAACGGCGUCUAAUACCCCGUAUGAAGCCGGACGGCAUCGUCUGGUUUUGAAAGAAUAUCGGAGACGGAUGGGCAUGCGGCGCAUUAGCUGGUUGGCGGGGUAACGGCCCACCAAGGCGACGAUGCGUAGGGGUUCUGAGAGGAAGGUCCCCCACACUGGUACUGAGACACGGACCAGACUCCUACGGGAGGCAGCAGUGAGGAAUAUUGGUCAAUGGGCGAGAGCCUGAACCAGCCAAGUCGCGUGAGGGAGUACUGCCCUAUGGGUUGUAAACCUCUUUUGUCGGGGAGCAAAAGCCGGACGUGUCCGUCUGUGAGAGUACCCGAAGAAAAAGCAUCGGCUAACUCCGUGCCAGCAGCCGCGGUAAUACGGAGGAUGCGAGCGUUAUCCGGAUUUAUUGGGUUUAAAGGGUGCGCAGGCGGAUUUUUAAGUCAGCGGUCAAAUCGUGGGGCUCAACCCCAUCCAGCCGUUGAAACUGGGGAUCUAGAGUGUGCGAGAGGUAUGCGGAAUGCGUGGUGUAGCGGUGAAAUGCAUAGAUAUCACGCAGAACCCCGAUUGCGAAGGCAGCAUACCGGCGCCCUACUGACGCUGAGGCACGAAAGCGUGGGUAUCGAACAGGAUUAGAUACCCUGGUAGUCCACGCAGUAAACGAUGAAUGCUGGUUGUCCGGGUCGAAUGAGAUCUGGGCGGCGAAGCGAAAGCGAUAAGCAUUCCACCUGGGGAGUACGCCGGCAACGGUGA
rnacentral:rRNA from 1 species